rnacentral:rRNA from 1 species
CCUACGGGGGGCAGCAGUCGAGAAUCAUUCACAAUGGGGGAAACCCUGAUGGUGCGACGCCGCGUGGGGGAAUGAAGGUCUUCGGAUUGUAAACCCCUGUCAUGUGGGAGCAAAUUAAAAAGAUAGUACCACAAGAGGAAGAGACGGCUAACUCUGUGCCAGCAGCCGCGGUAAUCCAGAGGUAUCAAGCGUUGUUCGGAAUCACUGGGCGUAAAGCGUGCGUAGGCUGUUUCGUAAGUCGUGUGUGAAAGGCGCGGGCUCAACCCGCGGACGGCACAUGAUACUGCGAGACUAGAGUAAUGGAGGGGGAACCGGAAUUCUCGGUGUAGCAGUGAAAUGCGUAGAUAUCGAGAGGAACACUCGUGGCGAAGGCGGGUUCCUGGACAUUAACUGACGCUGAGGCACGAAGGCCAGGGGAGCGAAAGGGAUUAGAUACCCCAGUAGUC